rnacentral:rRNA from 1 species
AGAGUUUGAUCAUGGCUCAGGACGAACGCUGGCGGCACGCUUAACACAUGCAAGUCGAACGAGAGAAGAGGAGCUUGCUUUUCUGAUCUAGUGGCGGACGGGUGAGUAACACGUGAGCAAUCUGCCUUUCAGAGGGGGAUACCGAUUGGAAACGAUCGUUAAUACCGCAUAACAUAAUUGAACCGCAUGAUUUGAUUAUCAAAGAUUUAUCGCUGAAAGAUGAGCUCGCGUCUGAUUAGCUAGUUGGUAAGGUAACGGCUUACCAAGGCGACGAUCAGUAGCCGGACUGAGAGGUUGAUCGGCCACAUUGGGACUGAGACACGGCCCAGACUCCUACGGUAGGCAGCAGUGGGGAAUAUUGCACAAUGGAGGAAACUCUGAUGCAGCGAUGCCGCGUGAGGGAAGAAGGUUUUAGGAUUGUAAACCUCUGUCUUCAGGGACGAAAAAAGACGGUACCUGAGGAGGAAGCUCCGGCUAACUACGUGCCAGCAGCCGCGGUAAUACGUAGAGAGCGAGCGUUGUCCGGAAUUACUGGGUGUAAAGGGAGCGUAGGCGGGAUCGCAAGUCAGAUGUGAAAACUAUGGGCUUAACCCAUAAACUGCAUUUGAAACUGUGGUUCUUGAGUGAAGUAGAGGUAAGCGGAAUUCCUAGUGUAGCGGUGAAAUGCGUAGAUGUUAGGAGGAACAUCAGUGGCGAAGGCGGCUUACUGGGCUUUAACUGACGCUGAGGCUCGAAGGCGUGGGGAGCAAACAGGAUUAGAUACCCUGGUAGUCCACGCCGUAAACGAUGAUUACUAGGUGUGGGGGGACUGACCCCUUCCGUGCCGCAGCAAACGCAAUAAGUAAUCCACCUGGGGAGUACGACCGCAAGGUUGAAACUCAAAGGAAUUGACGGGGGCCCGCACAAGCAGUGGAGUAUGUGGAUUAAUUCGAAGCAACGCGAAGAACCUUACCAGGUCUUGACAUCGUAUGCAUAGCUCAGAGAUGAGUGAAAUCUCUUCGGAGACAUAUAGACAGGUGGUGCAUGGUUGUCGUCAGCUCGUGUCGUGAGAUGUUGGGUUAAGUCCCGCAACGAGCGCAACCCUUACUGUUAGUUGCUACGCAAGAGCACUCUAGCAGGACUGCCGUUGACAAAACGGAGGAAGGUGGGGAUGACGUCAAAUCAUCAUGCCCCUUAUGACCUGGGCCUCACACGUACUACAAUGGCUGUCAACAGAGGGAAGCAAAGCCGCGAGGUGGAGCGAACCCCUAAAAGCAGUCUUAGUUCGGAUUGUAGGCUGCAACCCGCCUACAUGAAGUCGGAAUUGCUAGUAAUCGCAGAUCAGCAUGCUGCGGUGAAUACGUUCCCGGGCCUUGUACACACCGCCCGUCACGCCAUGGGAGUCGGUAACACCCGAAGCCUGUAGUCUAACCGCAAGGAGGACGCAGUCGAAGGUGGGAUUGAUGACUGGGGUGAAGUCGUAACAAGGUA